rnacentral:tRNA from 1 species
GCCGUCGUGGCGUAAUGGUAGCGCGUCGCUUUCCUAAGGCGAAGGUUGUGAGUUCGAGCCUCACCGUCGGUA